UACGAAAGGGGGGCUAGCGUUGCCUCGGAAUCACUGGGCGUAAAGGGUGCGUAGGCGGGGUUUUUAAGUCAGAGGUGAAAUCCUGGAGCUCAACUCCAGAACUGCCCUUUUGAUACUGAGAAUCUUUGAGUAUGGGGAGAGGUGAGUGGAACUGCGAGUGUAGAGGUGAAAUUCGUAGAUAUUCGCAAGAACACCAGUGGCGAAGGCGGCUCACUGGCCCCAUAACUGACGCUGAGGCACGAAAGCGUGGGGGAUCAAACAGG
rnacentral:rRNA from 1 species